GACGAACGCUGGCGGCGUGCUUAACACAUGCAAGUCGAACGGAGUGGCGAACGGGUGAGUAACACGUGGGUGAUCUGCCUUGCACUUCGGGAUAAGCUUGGGCAACUGGGUCUAAUACCGGAUAGUGCAAGAUGAGCUCGCGGCCUAUCAGCUUGUUGGUGGGGUAAUGGCCGACCAAGGCGUCGACGGGUAGCCCGUCUGAGAGGGGGUACGGCCACAUUUGGUCUGAUGUACGGCCCAGACUCCUACGGGGGGCAGCAGUGGGGAAUGUUGCACAAUGCGCGGAAGCCUGAUGCAGCGACGCCGCGUGGGGGAUUAAGGCCUUCGGGUUGUAACCUCCUUUCGACAGAGACGCGGUACCUGUAUAAGAAGCACCGGCUAACUACGUGCCAGCAGCCGCGGUAAUUC
rnacentral:rRNA from 1 species